CCGGCCGGGUCGGGCCGGACCCGCACCGCGGCGGCCCCGGGUCGGAGCGGCGGCUGGGAGCGAGAGUAGAGCCGCCCCUCACGCCUGUGGACCUGUCUGAGCCCAGCUUUCACACGUACUGCAGCGGCCCGGAGGGUAAGGGCAUGGUGACAGAGAUCUUCGGCUGCCAGUCAAGUGGCUUUUAAGGAGGAUCUAUAAAGUAUUUGGCUCUCUGGCAAGAAGAUCCUUGCAGAAUGAAGACUGCUGUGAAUAAAACAAGUGGAUGAUCUCAGCUUACAUUUUUCCAUCUGCUCGAGGCCGCAUCCCAUGCGGAGGAGCCCUGGGAGUUUUUGCAGAGAGCUCGGCAGGUGCUGAGCAUUCCAGCCUGUGCCACACCACUGAAGCUCCCCAAGUAGCAAUUUAGUCAGACAUUUAUGAAAACUGAAAACUGGACAUUCCCUCCAGAGCCAGCAGGCAGCCUAUUGUCCCUCACAGCGAGGCACCAUCAAAGCCUGCACAAACACCUAUCCACUUCAGCUCACCGGCAGGCUGAGGGGCUUGGACGUGGUGCCGGGAGCCAGGGAGACACUGAUCCCAUCACUGAAAAGGUGGUCCUGUCCCUGUCUUUGGAAGAUGGGACAGGAACAGAGGUGAGACUCUGAAAGACACCUUCCUGAGCAGUUGCUUCUAGUAUCUCCCGAAAUUGCAGAUGGGAGAGAGCCAUUUCAUCCCUAGCAUCCUGUCUUCCAGGCCAAGGGCCAUGUGUGGAAGACCCACAAGUUUGUCUGGGGGAUGCCAAAUUCCUCUCUUUGCUUUCAGCACUGGACUCCACUUAGAUAGUGGACGGGUCGUGCACCCGUCAGUCGGAAGUCUGCUUCCCUCCCAGGUGGAAUAACGGGGAGGAGAUGAGGGAUAAGUUUUGAUUUCUGCACUGCCAGCUCGAAGCAUCAGAUGGGUGCGGCAGCCGGGGGCUCACCUCCAGGC